GUCAUAUGCUUGUCUCAAAGAUUAAGCCAUGCAUGUCUCAGUACAAGCCAAAUUAAGGUGAAACCGUGAAAGGCUCAUUAAAUCAGUUAUGGUUCCUUAGAUCGUACCCACAAUUACUUGGAUAACUGUGGUAAUUCUAGAGCUAAUACAUGCAAACAGAGCUCCGACCGGAGACGGAAGGAGUGCUUUUAUUAGAUCAAAACCAAUCGGUGGCGGGUUCGCGCUCGUCAUCGUACAACUUGGUGACUCUGAAUAACUUUAUGCUGAUCGCACGGUCAUCGCACCGGCGACGCAUCUUUCAAAUGUCUGCCUUAUCAACUGUCGAUGGUAGGUUCUGCGCCUACCAUGGUUGUAACGGGUAACGGGGAAUCAGGGUUCGAUUCCGGAGAGGGAGCCUGAGAAACGGCUACCACAUCCAAGGAAGGCAGCAGGCGCGCAAAUUACCCACUCCCGGCACGGGGAGGUAGUGACGAAAAAUAACGAUACGGGACUCAUCCGAGGCCCCGUAAUCGGAAUGAGUACACUCUAAACCCUUUAACGAGGAUCAAUUGGAGGGCAAGUCUGGUGCCAGCAGCCGCGGUAAUUCCAGCUCCAAUAGCGUAUAUUAAAGUUGUUGCGGUUAAAAAGCUCGUAGUCGAAUUUGUGUCUCGUGCCGCCGGUUCAUCGUCCGCGGUGUUAACUGGCGAGUCGCGAGACGUCCUGCCGGUGGGCUUAGCUCGCGAGGGCGGCCCAACUCAAUCCUGCCGCGGUGCUCUUCAUUGAGUGUCGAGGUGGGCCGGCACGUUUACUUUGAACAAAUUAGAGUGCUUAAAGCAGGCUAAAACUUCGCCUGAAUACUGUGUGCAUGGAAUAAUGGAAUAGGACCUCGGUUCUAUUUUGUUGGUUUUCGGAACCCCGAGGUAAUGAUUAAUAGGAACGGAUGGGGGCAUUCGUAUUGCGACGUUAGAGGUGAAAUUCUUGGAUCGUCGC
rnacentral:rRNA from 1 species